rnacentral:rRNA from 1 species
GACGAACGCUGGCGGCGUGCUUAACACAUGCAAGUCGAACGGAAAGGCCCUGCUUUUGUGGGGUGCUCGAGUGGCGAACGGGUGAGUAACACGUGAGUAACCUGCCCUUGACUUUGGGAUAACUUCAGGAAACUGGGGCUAAUACCGGAUAGGAGCUCCUGCUGCAUGGUGGGGGUUGGAAAGUUUCGGCGGUUGGGGAUGGACUCGCGGCUUAUCAACUUGUUGGUGGGGUAGUGGCUUACCAAGACUUUGACGGGUAGCCGGCCUGAGAGGGUGACCGGCCACAUUGGGACUGAGAUACGGCCCAGACUCCUACGGGAGGCAGCAGUGGGGAAUAUUGCACAAUGGGCGGAAGCCUGAUGCAGCAACGCCGCGUGCGGGAUGACGGCCUUCGGGUUGUAAACCGCUUUCGCCUGUGACGAAGCGUGAGUGACGGUAAUGGGUAAAGAAGCACCGGCUAACUACGUG